rnacentral:rRNA from 1 species
AACGAACGCUGGCGGCAUGCCCAACACAUGCAAGUCGAACGAGACCUUCGGGUCUAGUGGCGCACGGGUGCGUAACGCGUGGGAACCUGCCCUUAGGUUCGGAAUAACUCCCCGAAAGGGGUGCUAAUACCGGAUAAUGUCUUCGGACCAAAGAUUUAUCGCCUUUGGAUGGGCCCGCGUUGGAUUAGCUAGUUGGUAGGGUGAAAGCCUACCAAGGCGACGAUCCAUAGCUGGUCUGAGAGGAUGAUCAGCCACACUGGGACUGAGACACGGCCCAGACUCCUACGGGAGGCAGCAGUGGGGAAUAUUGGACAAUGGGCGAAAGCCUGAUCCAGCAAUGCCGCGUGAGUGAUGAAGGCCUUAGGGUUGUAAAGCUCUUUUACCCGGGAUGAUAAUGACAGUACCGGGAGAAUAAGCUCCGGCUAACUCCGUG